GCCCCACCCACCUAGAGGAGCCUGUUCUAUAAUCGAUAACCCCCGCUUAACCUCACCACUUCUUGCCAAUACCGCCUAUAUACCACCGUCGCCAGCCCACCCCGUGAGGGAAAUAGUAGGCACAAUGAUAAGUCACCAAAACGUCAGGUCAAGGUGUAGCGUAUGAAGUGGAAAGAAAUGGGCUACAUUCUCUAACCUAGAGCACACGAAAAAUCUUAUGAAAUUAGAUUAGAAGGAGGAUUUAGUAGUAAAAAGAAACAAUAGUGUUCUUUUUAAGUUGGCCCUGGGGCGCGCACACACCGCCCGUCACCCUCUUCAACUAAUAAAACACGAUUUAUAAAACACAAAACAAAUACAAGAAGAGGUAAGUCGUAACAUGGUAAGUAUACCGGAAGGUGUGCUUGGAAUUAC
rnacentral:rRNA from 1 species